AAUGCUUGGGAAUCUAGCUUAUGGAGGGGGAUAACUACGGGAAACUGUAGCUAAUACCGCGUAGAGUCGAGAGAUGAAAGUGUGGGACCUUCGGGCCACAUGCCAUAGGAUGAGCCCAAGUGGGAUUAGGUAGUUGGUGAGGUAAAGGCUCACCAAGCCGACGAUCUCUAGCUGGUCUGAGAGGAUGACCAGCCACACUGGGACUGAGACACGGCCCAG
rnacentral:rRNA from 1 species